rnacentral:rRNA from 1 species
UACGGAGGGUGCAAGCGUUAUCCGGAUUCACUGGGUUUAAAGGGUGCGUAGGCGGGUUGGUAAGUCCGUGGUGAAAUCUCCGAGCUUAACUCGGAAACUGCCGUGGAUACUAUCAAUCUUGAAUAUCGUGGAGGUAAGCGGAAUAUGUCAUGUAGCGGUGAAAUGCUUAGAUAUGACAUAGAACACCAAUUGCGAAGGCAGCUGGCUACGCAUAUAUUGACACUGAGGCACGAAAGCGUGGGGAUCAAACAGG